CGUCUGUUCCGUUUGAGCUGAGAGGUCUUUAGUAGUCACAUCAUAUCAUAUAUCAUACAUCCACACAUACGCACAAUAUAUAUAUUCAUAUAUAUACUGUACUGCUAUAUGUCAAACACUGGAGUAUAAAAAAGGAGCCGACCAGGUCGUCAGCGGGAGACCUGCGGUCACGUAUAGAAAAAUAUGAGCAUCUCCGCACUGUUCUACACACUGUUGCUACAACCACACAUUCCAUUCAAAUGCUAAACACAAACAAGUGAAAAAUAAAGAUCAAGACCUCUAAAUAGGAGGAGCCGGACGGCAGCUGACCCGGGGAACGGACCCGGGCUGGGUCGGGCCCGAAAGCGGCCCGGAUGCGUCCCAGGCGCAGCUACGACCUGGCGAGGGCUACAUCUACACCCUGACCCCUGACCCCUUGACCCUGGGGCUGCUGGGGCUCCCAGUGGCGGAGGCAAUAUUGUGGCGUUUACAGUAAAGUGGACUGCAGCGUUGCAUCUCUUGGUUGAAGGAAGCUAGCUUAGACGGACUGUGUAUUGCUUGAGUAAAGUACUGUCUUGGAGUGGAAGUGUGUUCCGGUCAGGGGGUGACUGGGGGGUAAGUCAGUGAUGACGGGCCCAAACGGGCCGUUGAGGAACCAAACGGGCUCGGCCCUCUGGCGGAACCUCCAGCGCCGGUGGCUGUUAUAGGCAACCGGACUGCAGAGGUGUACACACACACACACACACACACACACACACACACACACACACACACACACACACACACACACACACACACACACACACACACACACACACACACACACACAGCAGGCUCAGGGGUAAAAGGCGUUUUGAACAAGUAACUAUGAGCAGCUGACCCUUAACCUUGAAAGAUUCUGUGUUUCCCUAAAGCAUGGCGGUCCCACCACCAGCAUGAAGAACCAAGAUGUCUCUCAGUCAGUCAAACAUGGUGGAAACACAGACCAGCUUUUGGGAGGCAAAGCCCUGGUGGAUGCAUCCAGCCAAGAGCCUGACAUCUACGAGCAGUUACUGAACCAGGAGGUCAUGCUUAAGGCUUGUUUCAGAUUUGGUCUGUUUCGUUGGUCUGAACCCGUGAGAACUUGGCUUGUAGAGCAUCCAGGCAUCGCCAAUGGUCACGCAGGGGUCUAGUGUUAGUAUUUUCAAGAGCAUUGCAUGUUAGUUAAUACUACUUUAACAGUGAGUUAUUCAUCUUGGGAUCAUUUGGAUCCACCAGCGGUCAUAAAUUGCGUUUACUUUCUGGUUUUAGAUCGGAAAACUGUAAUGCCAAAUACAGACCUCACUGGAGCUCUGUGGUUUAAUAUCGGAUAGCUUUAAUGCCAAAUACAGACCCCACUGGAGCUCUGUGGUUUA
ensembl:lncRNA